UGCAGCUCAAAUGAAUGAAAGGGUUAAUAAUUCUCAGCAGUUUAUUUAAUUUUUCUCAUUGCAAAACCUAAAUCAUGUGUGAUUUCCUUCAUGCCGGAACACUAUCAUAUAUAUGCAUUAUAAAUGAAUGAAUCAUAAUAUUUAAUGUAUUUAUAUGUAAGGUAAUCCAGUGACUGCAGGUAGACCCCUACCAAAAGGUUCUGGGCUCAAUCCCCUUUAGCCUACCUGUAAACAUCCUUGAGACACAUGCCACAUGACG